CUCUCAGUCGGACGAGGACGUCAUCCGGCUGAUCUGACAGCACCUGAACGGCCUCGGCCUGAAGCAGACUGUUGAUCUCCUCAUGUAAGAGUCAGGAUGUCGUUUAGAACAUCCUUCUGCUACCAAAUUCCGAAAUCAUGUCAUGGAAAGAGACUGGGAUAAGGCAGAAAAUGACCUAAAUGAAAUAAAGCCUUUAGUACAUUCUCCUCAUGCUAUUGUGAGGAUGAAGUUUUUGCUGCUGCAGCAGAAGUACCUGGAAUACCUGGAGGAUGGCAAGGUCCUGGAGGCGCUUCAGGUUCUACGCUGUGAACUGACGCCCCUGAAGUACAAUACAGAGCGCAUUCAUGUUCUGAGUGGAUAUCUGAUGUGUAGCCAUGCAGAAGACCUAAGAGCAAAAGCAGAAUGGGAAGGCAAAGGAACAGCUUCCCAAUCAAAACUGUUGGAUAAACUUCAGACUUAUUUACCACCAUCAGUGAUGCUUCCCCCACAGCGUUUACAGACUCUCCUGCGGCAGGCGGUGGAACUACAAAGGGAUCGGUGCCUAUACCACAAUACCAAACUUGAUAAUAAUCUAGAUUCUGUGUCUCUACUUAUAGAUAAUGUUUGCAGUAGGAGACAAUUUCCGUUAUACUCAGCAAAUACUUACGGAGCAUUGUAAUGAAGUGUGGUUCUGUAAAUUCUCUAAUGAUGGCACUAAGCUAGCAACAGGAUCAAAAGAUACAACUGUUAUCAUAUGGAAAGUUGAUCCGGAUACACACCUGCUGAAACUUCUUAAGACAUUAGAAGAACAUGCUUACGGAGUUUCUUACAUUGCAUGGAGUCUGGAUGACAACUAUCUUGUUGCCUGUGGCCCAGACGACUGCUCUGAGCUUUGGCUUUGGAAUGUAUAAACAGGAGAACUAAGGACAAAAAUGAGCCAGUCUCAUGAGGACAAUUUGACAAGUGUGGCAUGGAAUCCUGAUGGCAAGCGCUUUGUGACUGGAGGCCAGCGUGGACAUUCUACCAGUGUGAUCUGGAUGGAAAUCUCCUUGACUCCUGGGAAGGGGUAAGAGUGCAAUGCCUGUGGUGUUUGAGUGAUGGGAAGACUGUUCUGGCAUCAGAUACACACCAGCGGAUUCGGGGAUACAACUUUGAGGACCUUACAGACUGGAACAUAGUACAAGAAGAUCAUCCUAUUAUGUCUUUUACAAUUUCAAAAAAUGGACGAUUAGCUUUGUUAAAUGUAGCUACUCAGGGAGUUCAUUUAUGGGACUUACAAGACAGAGUUUUAGUAAGGAAGUAUCAAGGUGUUACUCAAAGGUUUUAUACAAUUCAUUCGUGUUUUGGAGGCCAUAAUGAAGACUUCAUCGCUAGUGGCAGUGAAGAUCACAAGGUUUACAUCUGGCACAAAUGUAGCGAACUGCCUAUAGCAGAGCUGACAGGACACACGCGUACAGUGAACUGUGUGAGCUGGAAUCCACAAAUCCCAUCCAUGAUGGCCAGUGCCUCAGAUGACGGCACUGUUAGAAUAUGGGGACCAGCACCUUUUAUAGACCACCAGAAUAUUGAAGAGGAAUUCAGUAGCAUGGAUAGUUGAUAGCAAAUUUGGAGGAGACGACUUCUGUUUAACUUAAAAUUAGUCGUUUUUUAAUGGCUUGGGAUUUGGUGCAAACAAACAUGAUUGAUAGCUGGACAGACAUGAUCAUCAUGAAUAAAGAACCAUUUCUGAAGCCCGAUUGGGGCCAAACAUGUACACCUUGCUUCAUAGUAACCAGUUGAAAUGAAGCACAUCUUAGAACGUUGUUGGACGCCAUGUUGAAUUCUCCCCCCAUCGGUUGUGAAGAACUAUGCUACAUCCAGGCUUACCCAUUGAACUCAGUAUAUAUAUAUAUAUUUUCCCUCCUGCCUUUUGUCUGGCAGGAUAACAUUCUUAUUGCUCUUCUGUGUAAUGAAGUUUAAAUGCUUGUUUGGAAAACUUUAUUUAACAGUUUAGAAGCCUUGAUAGGAAGAGUGCAUUAGUCUGAAGAGUAUUCAUUGGAUAGGAAAGAAUUUCCUUCUUUUGUUUCUCCAAAUCUUUCCGCCUUAUUUAGCUUGAGAUCUUUGCAGCUUGGUUCAUGGAUUUUAGCCUUGCCCGUUGCGCAGUAUAUACUGAUCCAGAUGACAAAACCAGUGAACUAUGUCAAAAGCACUCUCAAUAUUACAUUUGACAAAAAGUUUUGUAUUUUUCACAUAGCUUGUUGCCCGUAAAAGGGUUAACAGCACAAUUUUUUUAAAAUAAAUUAAGAAG